CCUACGGGACGCAGCAGUGAGGAAUAUUGGUCAAUGGCCGAGAGGCUGAACCAGCCAAGUCGCGUGAGGGAAUAAGGCCCUACGGGUCGUAAACCUUUUUUGCCGGGGAGCAAGGGCGGGGACGUGUCCCGGCCCGGAGAGUACCCGGAGAAAAAGCAUCGGCUAACUCCGUGCCAGCAGCCGCGGUAAUACGGAGGAUGCGAGCGUUAUCCGGAUUUAUUGGGUUUAAAGGGUGCGUAGGCGGGCUUUUAAUUCAGCGGUAAAAAUUCGGGGCUCAACCCCGUCCGGUCGUUGAAACUGGGGGG
rnacentral:rRNA from 1 species